rnacentral:rRNA from 1 species
UAGGGAAUCUUCGGCAAUGGGGGGAACCCUGACCGAGCAACGCCGCGUGAGUGAAGAAGGUUUUCGGAUCGUAAAGCUCUGUUGUUAAGGAAGAACGAGUGUGAGAAUGGAAAGUUCAUACUGUGACGGUACUUAACCAGAAAGGGACGGCUAACUACGUGCCAGCAGCCGCGGUAAUACGUAGGUCCCGAGCGUUGUCCGGAUUUAUUGGGCGUAAAGCGAGCGCAGGCGGUUAGAUAAGUCUGAAGUGAAAGGCAGUGGCUCAACCAUUGUAGGCUUUGGAAACUGUUUAACUUGAGUGCAGAAGGGGAGAGUGGAAUUCCAUGUGUAGCGGUGAAAUGCGUAGAUAUAUGGAGGAACACCGGUGGCGAAAGCGGCUCUCUGGUCUGUAACUGACGCAGAGGCUCGAAAGCGUGGGGAGCGAACAGG